rnacentral:rRNA from 1 species
CGGGUAUGAGUAGAGUGGCGCACGGGUGAGUAACGCGUGGAAACCUACCGAGCAGUGGGGAAUAACCUUUGGAAUCGAAGGCUAAUACCGCAUACGCCCUUCGGGGGAAAGAUUUAUCGCUGUUUGAUGGUCCCGCGUCUGAUUAGCUAGUUGGUAGGGUAAUGGCUUACCAAGGCGACGAUCAGUAGCUGGUCUGAGAGGAUGGUCAGCCACACUGGAACUGAGACACGGUCCAG